GUGGCGGUGGACGAGAGCGAGGAGAGCAUGCACGCGCUGUCGUGGUGCCUCUCCAACGUGGUCUCCGCCGCCGCCAAGUCCCCCGCGGCCGCGCCGCCGCCGGCCGUGGUCCUGGUCCACGCCCGGCCGGCGCGGCCGCUCUACUACCCGGUGAUCGACGGCGGCGGCUACGUGCUGACCCAGGAGGUGAUGGACAGCAUGGACCGCUACAUGGCCACCGCCG
rnacentral:misc_RNA from 1 species